rnacentral:lncRNA from 1 species
GGAGAGAAGAGGAGGAGCAGCAGGAGAGGAGGAGGAGCAGCAGGAGGAGGAGAGAGGAGGGGGAGAGAGGAAGAGCAGGAAACAGACAGGUAGAGGUGCAGUGUGCAGGGCUGGCUGCACAAUCAGUAAGCGGAGGCAGGGUCCAUCACAGGGGAAGCUGAGCCAGGGAGCCAAGCUGAGAAAGAGGAAUGGGUAUCACCAUUUUAGCCAACAUUGCCAAUGACCAUCUGGAUGAUCCAGAGGAGGAAUGGGAGAAGGUCAUGUGGUCUGAUGAGACAAAAACGUUGUUCUGAAUUAUAACUUAGGUGCAGAUAUUAAAAGUUUUGAAUUGUCUUUACAAUGUUACAUGUUCUACCUGAACGUUAGAAAGAGACAGUGAAAUGUGUAACCUUUCAAUGAGCAACUUGAAUGGCAAUAUUGGUCUAGUUAAAUAGCCACAUACUUUUUCCAGUUAUAGAAUUUUAGCCAAGCAUUUUUUUACACUAUGCAUAUAAAGAAAACUGAUAUAAAUGGAGAUUUUUCAAUUUAGGAUAUUUUUUCUAGUUUUAGAAUACUUACAAAGUGGCAAGAG